GAUGAACGCUGACAGAAUGCUUAACACAUGCAAGUCAUUGGCGAAGCUGCGCUUGCGCAGUCUAGCCAAGGCGGACGGGUGAGUAACGCGUAAGGAACUUGCCCUGCAGGCAGGGAUAACAGACGGAAACGACUGAUAACACCUGGUAUUGUCAGGCUGGCGCAUGCCGGCCUGAUGAAAGGAGACGCUGCAGGAGAGCCUUGCGUCCUAUUAGCUAGUUGGUGGGGUAACGGCCCACCAAGGCGAUGAUAGGUAGCCGGCCUGAGAGGGUGAACGGCCACAAGGGGACUGAGAUACGGCCCUUACUCCUACGGGAGGCAGCAGUGGGGAAUAUUGGACAAUGGGGGCAACCCUGAUCCAGCAAUUCUGUGUGCACGAAGAAGGUUUUCGGAUUGUAAAGUGCUUUCAGCAGGGAAGAAGAAAGUGACGGUACCUGCAGAAGAAGCGACGGCUAAAUACGUG
rnacentral:rRNA from 1 species